UAGGGAUACAAACUCUCUCAAUUCCCGAGCAGCGCCGCACCCACCUACCUCUCCUCGUUGUGCCAAACCAGCCAACCACCACAGCCAAAGCCCUGCUCGAUCUCGACCAUCGGAUCCCAGAUCGGACGUCCCAGGGAGCCUCCCGAGACCUCCCACAGCGCUCGGUCCAGAUUGGAUCGAGGCAACUGCCUCCCAUCCCUUGCGCCCUGCACGCCGCCGCAUCGUUCGGCCGUGCUGACAGACAACUCUCCUCGAGCUUCAGCCUACCAGAUCAAGCGAGCAAGGAGAGCGCUCGUGAUUGCCGUCCCGUCCUAGCAGAUAGCAAGGUGAGUAGCGUUCCCUACCUAAUAGCACUCACCCGCCAUGACUCUAUGGCUGCAGUAGUCGCUGCUUCCCUUGCCAACCUCGCCGUUGUACAAGCCCAACCACAGACUUGGCUAUCUACAUUCUUUGCUCGUAUUUCUUCAGAUUUGCAUUACAUAUAGGUUCAUGUUGGGUAAAGCCCCAUUUGCAUCACAAGUUUGAUCUUAGCAUAGUGGUUGGCACCCCUUGUGUUUUACCUGGAGACCAGGGAUCAAAUCCCUCGAGGCACAUUUUUUUUUCUUUUUAGUGUUUUUUUGCUUCUUCAGCUUGUCACGUCAUGCGGUUAUGUAAUAUAGCAUGGGAUGCCUCUUCCUCUAUUAAUACUCAGCCACACAACCGGUUGAACAAGUGCAUCAACAAAGGGGGUCAUCUGGGCUUGAAUCCAGGGAUGCCCCAAUUUUUUGUUGCUGUCCCAUGUUCAUUUCGCACGCUCACCCUCACACCCAGUUGGUCGAACCCUCUGGGCCGCUGCAAUUCGGCCUAUGUUUUUUUUCCUCCUACGAUUUCGCCCGUGGACCGAAUGCAUUCUUGUAUGAUAUGCGAUGUUGUCUGCUUCAUAGAUGCCAUGUUAGUUGCAGGUACCCCAUAUUCAUGCCUCCGGCCAUGGGAACAUGGUAACCGGGAUCACCCCAUUAUUCUUUGGCAUGACACACUCACAAUUCGUCGGCACCGGUAUCUCGUCGAGUUAUCGGAACCGGAACGUUGUUAUGGCUGUCAAUUGCAUGCAUGUUGCAUUAAUGGCAUAAUAUCUUGUGUUGCACGUAUGUGUUAAACCAUAACUCUGUUGGAGAUGAGCUAUAUAUGUAACCGACCAGAAUGACGUGUAGAAUCACAUGAUGCACGUAUCUGUUAACAACAUUUUAAUAUUGCCGUGUACCUAAACGUGAAUGAACUAAAUAAUUCGUAUGUGGAGUUUCAUCAAUAUGCAAUCCAUUGCAUGUUGAGCUUCACUUAAUGUGUAGUGUUUGAUUGUUGUGAAAUGCCAUGCCAUGCAUGUCAUAAUUAAACGAUCAUGCAUCGUAUGUGUUGUGCAUCAUGUCUUGCAUAUGUUGUGGUGUCAUCAUGUGUUGAUUGUUGUUCCAGUUUGUUUCUUCUCGAUAGAGUUCUGAAACACUUCAGAGUGUGAGGAUCCGUUUGACUACAUCGGUUUGUCUGCUUCACGGAUUCGUUCUUCUUCCAAGCGGGAUCUCAUGCAAGAUGAUCAUUUCCCUAGAUACCAUUACUAACAUUGCGAUGCUAGUUGUCUCAUUUCUUUUGCUAUGUCUCGCUGCCUACCACUUAUUUAAUAAGCCUCUCAACAUUGCCAUGAAAACCUCUAACCUUUCCACAACCGAGCAAACCGCUGUUUGGCUAUGUUACCGCUUCCUCAACCUUCUGUUAGCGUUGCUAGUUGCCAGUGUAGUUGGUUCCAUGUGCCAACAUGGGUCCUUGAUAUAUCACCUUAUAAUUAUUAUCUAAUUUAAUGCACCUAUAUAAUUUGUAAAUGGUGGAAGGCCUGGCCUUCUAGCCUGGUGUUUUGUUGAGCGCUCCUAACACGCUCGGGGUUGUUAUGGGGACUCCCUUGAUAAUUCGUCUUAGUUUAAAACUGGUCUGGCAAGGCCCAACUUUGGUACUACAUUUGCCUAAUAACUAAUGAAACACAUAGGGAGUAAUUAACCCGAGGAUACUUAAUCAACCCCGGGACCACUGCUCCUCAUGAUUGUUGGUCCAACCCAGAGCGCUGUGCGGGGCCAACCCAGGGCAACUUGGGCGAUCUCUAUCAGCCCCCGUGCAUGUAGCUUAUCCGUUGUGUCUUGAGAACGAGAUACGUAGCUCCUAUUUGGUUCGCCGACACGUUGGACAACCACUAUAGGAAUCAACUUCUUUGACGUCUGCCAUAACAGACGGCAAAGAGGACUCCACCGACGGCAUUGAUCAAUCUGCACACGGCAAAGAGAAGACCUGUCGGCAAAGAUUCUGCGUCAGCUUACGACGGCAUUGUAGUUUCUUUGCCGUUAGCCUACCCUAAGCGGACGACAAAGCUCUUUGCCGUCAGUGUUAGGCACUGAGCAGUCGACAAAGAAUUUGAGACGGCAGCCGACAGGCGAUGCCUCCGUUAGGGCUAACGGAGGCUUUGCCGUCUGCUUCCCUCCCCCACUUUGCCAUCUGCUUCUAUGGGCCAGCACAGAGUUGGGCCAACACAGGAAUCGGCUUUUUUGUCGUCUGCCUCCCUACCGCUUUGCCAUCAUCCUCCCGAGGCAGCGGACAACAAAGAGCCCAUAUGGCCAGCUGCUGCUGCCCAGGUUGCAUAGGUGGGUGCCACGUGGCCUCUUUGCCGUCUGCUUCCUGAUGGCAAAGGCCUUUGCCAUCAGCUGGCAGACGACAAAGAGCCAAUAUUGUCACAUUUGUGUUUAUUUUUUCUAUUUCACAUCACACACACACACACACACACACCACACACAUAUAUAUAUAUAUAUAUAUAUAAUUCAUAGCACAUAUAUGAUAUAUAGGUCACAACACAUAUCUGAUAUACAUAUAAAGUUCAUCAAUGCCAUUUGUUCAUCAAUGUACAUCCCAUAUAUCGAAAGAACCAACACAUACAAAGUUUCAUCCAUAUAUACAUACAUAUAGUUCCACAUAUAUUGUUCAUCCAUAUAUACAUAUACAUAUAGUUCCACAUUGUUCAUCAACUCAAAUAAAAACUAGAACUAAAGCACUCCAAUGCCAGCUUCCAUACAUGUAGUACAUCCAAUCUGCAAAAUGGGAAUAAAAAAGUUAGAAGAAGAAGAACAACAACAUAUGUAUGACAAAUAAGCUAAAUUGAAGAAUAAAGAGAAGAAGCAAGAAGAUAAGAAGGAGAAGAAAAACAGGAAUAAGGAGAAGGAGGAGGAGGACGAGAAGGAGAAGGAGAAGGAGAAGGAGGAGGAGAAGAGGAGAAGAAGAAGGAGAAGACGAAGGAGAGAAGAAGGAGGAGAAGAAGGAGGGCUCCUUCUCCUGCUUCUCCUCCUUCUCCUUCUUCUCUUCUUCUCCUUCUCCUUCUCUUCUUUUUCUCUUCUUCUUUUUCUUCUUCCUUUUCAUUUCUCCUCUUCUCCUCUUCUUGGAGCUAAAUUAGCUAACUAUGUCUUUUUGGAGCUAAAUGGGCUAAUUAUGUCAUUAUAGAGGAAAACCAGCUAAGUAUAUAAUAUUAAUGAGCUAACCAAGGUUCUUAUGCCAUUUUGAGCUUAUAAUGUCAUUUAGGAGCUUAAUUAGUCAUUUUAAUUAGCUAACCAAGGUUCUUAUGAUGUUUUUAUCUAACUAAGCUAAUUAUGUCAUUUUGGAGGAUAAUUAGCUAAGUAUGUCUUUGUUGGGGAAAAUAAGCUAAAUUGAAGAAGAAAGAGAAUAAGCAAGAAGAGAAGAAGGAGAAGAAAAAGAAGAAGGAGAAGGAGGAGGAGAAGAAGAAGGAGAAGGAGGAGGAGAGAAGAAGGAGGAGAAGAAGGAGAAGGAGGGAGAAGAAGAAGAAGGAGAGAAGAAGGAGAAGAAGGAGGGCUCCUUCUCCUCCUCCUCCUUCUCCUUCUUCUCUUCUUCUUCUCUUCUUCUUCUUCUUCCUUCUUUUCAUUUUUCCUCUUUCUUCUCCUCUUCUUCUUCUCCUCCCCCCUCCUCCUCUUAUCCUCUUCUUCCCCCUCCUAUUCUUCUUCUUCUUCCUCUUAUUCGUAUUUCUAUUUUUCUUUAUCCUCUUCUUCUACUUAUUCUUCUUUUCUUCUUUUUCUCUUCUUCUCCUUCUUAUUUUUUUCUUCUUCUCUUCUUCUCUUAGGCCUUAUUAUGUCAUUUAGGAGAUAACUUAGGUAAGUAUAGGUAAAUUUUUAUUAAAUAGGCCAUUUUGGAGCUAACUAAGCUAAUUAUGUCAUUUUGGAGGAUAAUUAGCUAAGUUGUGAGCUAACCAAGGUUCUUAUGAUGUUUUUACCCUAACUAAGCUAAUUAUGUCAUUUUGGAGGAUAAUUAGCUAAGUAUGUAUUUGUUGGGGGAAACUAAGCUAAAUUGAAGAAGAAAGAGAAGAAGCAAGAAGAGAAGAAGGAGAAAACUCAGACUCAGAGAAUGCCUUCACCUUCUUGUAGGAGGCACUAUGGGCCAUGCAUAAAGGUCGUACAAGUGUGGCAUUUCCGUCUUAUUGUGAUGCGCCUAAAAGAGAGGAACAAAGUAUUAGUAAGGGGCUCAAGCUAGCAGGAAGAAUGAAUUGCAUGAAUCAUGAAGCAAACCACAUACCCAGUUUCGUCCGAGCUGAAGUAAGUUGGCGUUGCCUUGAUGGUGUGGCACACCAACCAUUUGGCUACGCCAAUCCUUCGCAUUGUCGUGGACGGCUCGCCAGUUCCCUGUGCACCACUCAUCCACCAACGCCUCACAAUAAUCCAUCUUAUCUGCACACCAUCUCGGGGCACCUAUAAGUUAUUAGAAAGAAUUUUUAGCGCUACGCCUAUGAAUCAAAUCAAGAAAACUACGUAGAAGGCCUUAAGAAUAGGUAAUUACCUUCAUGUACUGCUCCUUCUUCAGAUACUUUCCGCGACACUCCUUCUUCUGCUUCUUAAUACCACGUGUGGCAUAGUAGUCUCGAAUAGCGUGCGGCCGAGCCUCGUGGCGUAAGUUCUGUAAUAACCGCCUACACUCGGCCUCGAGAACCUUGGCCGCCUCCUCCUCAUAUCGCUCCUCACACCUAUAGAAGGUCUGCAAUCAAAGGAGAUAACACCGAUUAGUACAAUAAUUAGCUAUAUUGUUAAUUUUAGAUUGUGUAAAAGGAUAAUUUACCCAAAAGCUCUUGAUCACCAUCUCGACCCUCGUGUGGCACAAGACACCAUCUAUAAUUUCCUCCCGCGGGGCCUCCGCAGCCUGGUAGUGCUCCGAGGAAAAUCCUAGUGUAGGAACCUGACCCUCACCAGGCAACGCGACAAACCCCGAAUUUUUUUCCGGCAAAGCACAUCAAGGACGUUGUUCGGCUUGUGGACUCCACAGGGGUUGCCGAUCCCCUACAGUAUGAUAAGGUCAAUGCAUUAGAUAUUUCAAGAAACUUGAAGGCAAAAGCUAAAAAAAGAGUAAAUGUACUUACCUAUCCCCUUCAGGCUUAAUCACCGGCCUCAGCUCGCGGGUAGCCGACACGACCGGGAGACGUGUACUACCACGCUUGUACACGGUGCCCAUGUCCACCUGCACGUCUCCCUCACUAUCCGUAAACUCAUCCCCGCCAUCAACAGAACAACCACCCGAACCCUCGGUCCAAUCUGGCACCUCGGUCCGAUCCGGCCAGGAACCCCAUCCGGACCUCUCCACGUCGGCCGAAGCGUGUGUGGCAGGAGUCUCCUGGGAUGUAGCCUCACGAACCGGAGUCUCGUGGGCCGAAGGCACCUCGACCCGAGGUUGAUCCUGGAUUGGAGUCUCAUGGGCCGAAUGCCUGUCCACCCGAUGCUCUUGGACCGGAGUCCCCGUAGCCUCCUCCUCAAACGGGCCCACCAUAGUAGUCCUGUGCUUGGGUGAAUGAGCUGGUGGUGGUGGUGAGGACGGCGCAACAGUCUGCCUACCUCUUCCGCGGCCACCACCUCUCCCUGUAACCUUCCCCUUCUUCCCUACCCGACCAGCACCUCUCCCAGUGGGCAAUGUCACCGACGAACAAGCACCCGCGGGUGGUGUCGUCAGACUGUCUUCCAAGGCUCCAUGGAGAAAUGGGGGUGGAAUGGAAGUAACACCUCUCGUGAGGGCCACCGAAGAAGAACCCGUCGAGCGAUCUGGACCCGCGCCCACCAUCUUUCAACACUUGGUGACCUGCCAUGAUAAAGAUUAAGAGAAAUUAGUACAACAUAAAAAAAUUGAAUAACUGACAUGAAUAAUAAUAUGUACAUAUAUAAUUUAAGUUGUGAAUCUUACAAACUAAUAAUCAUUAUCACCAAAAUCUGCUAAGAAACUCAAAGUCCAAUCUAGUCAUUUUUAGCUCAUCCUAAUACAUAUUUGCACUUCUAAGGCAGCUCAGCCCCCCUCCAUUUUUUAGCUCAUCCUAAUACAUAUUUGCACUUCUAAGGCAGCUCAACCCCCCUCCAUUUUUUAGCUCAUCCUAAGACACAUUUGCACUUCUAAGGCAAGUCAGCCCCCCUCCGUUAUAUACACACACACACACACACACACACACACACACAUACAUGCUACCCUUUUGUAUUUGGCUGUCACCAACUGCCUUUCUCAUGAUACCUCAAAUUACUUGCUUUCUAGGACUCAAUCCACUUUCUCGAGAACAUGAUAUUUUCACUGCAAUAUAUUUCAAGAUAUUUUAUUUAGUUUGGUGAACUAAAUAUCUACUAAGAAUUUCAAAGAGAAAAUUGCACCAAAACUACAAAAUCACUGGCUUUUAAUGAAUAAUCUAGCCUAUUGGGAGUAAUCUCAAAUGUUUCUAGCUGACUAAUAGCAAUCACUCCCAUAAAUAUGAUUUGUGUGGGACCGCUAUUGAAAUAGCCAUUAGUAUGAAUUUUAUAGCAAGGUCUUCGAACACAGAUGGCAAUUUUGUCGUGUUUACUUGAAGAAAUUGUCAUGUUCGUGCAAAACAUUGGCAAAUCCCAUCCUUCACACAAACCAUUCACUGAAUUGCAUUACUUUUCAUUUGUGGUGUGUAUGAACAAUGAACAUUUGCCAAGAUUUUCCUAAUCGUUAGGCUAUGUGCUAGCACACAACCACCAUUCCUUACCUCCAAACGACUCCACAGAUUAUAUAUAUAUAUAUAUAUACAUACAUACAUACAUACAUACAUACAUACAUACAUACAUACAUACAUACAUAAUACCAAAUCUCAACAAAAUAUAUAUACCGCAAGCAAUUCUAAGAACAUUUUGAGUGUCAUUUUCGGAAUGUUGGAAUGAAAAUUUCUUUAUAGAUCCAUAUAUAGGGGUGGGGGUGUGGGGGCUCACCCGCAGGGGCUGCUAUGGCAUCGUGGGCGGCGGGGCGGCGCUGGGGGUGUUGGGGUUGUGGGGCGGCGCCAGGGGCGAUGGGGCGGCGGUGCCGGGGGGCUGUGGGGCACCAGGGCGGCGCCGGGGGCAGUGGGGCGGCGGCGGCGACGACGGGGCUGUGGGGCACCGGGGCGGCGCCGGGGGCGUUGCAGGCGGCGGCACGACGGUGGUGGCGGCGGUGGGCGUCACGGGAGUGGAAGAGAAGAAGAGAAGAAGAGAGUGAGAGAGAGAGAGGGCCGGGGUGGGGGUGAGACGACCGUUACCAAAUACCAACGCUUUGCCGUCUGCUGGCGGAGGGCAAAGGGUCUAGACUCUUUGCCGUCUUCCUCCGGACUCUUUGCCGUUCGCGAGCAGACGACAAAGAAGGGACUGUAGUUUGACCUAAUGUUCACUCGGUCAGGUGGGCCCAGUCCAAAGCUUUGCCAUCUGCUAUCCUAAUCUUUACCGUCAGCCGCUGACGGCAAAGAAGUGACUGAUGGAAAAUACAUUCUAUGCCAUCAACUUGUUCUUUGCCGUCAGCUUUGUGGCAGCGGACGGCAAAGACACUCUUUGCCGUCACCUAGCGGACGACAAAGAUAUAGCAGACGACAAAAAACUAAAUUCCAGUAGUGAGCCUUGCUGGACUUGUUUUACCUUCUACAAAAUAUCUUGUGCAUCGGGAUUCCGGUGAUGCUUUGGGAUAUCUCAGAGUUGAGGUUUUCCACUAAGGAAUCGAGGAGGUCACGAGUUUCAGGAUCGAGGCUUUCUAUGCAGCUUGUGGUAAUUUGUGAUGGACUAGUUGGAGCACCCCUACAGGGUUAAAUCUUUCGAAAAGUCGUGCCCGCUGUUUUGUGGAAAACUUGGAAACUUUGUUUAACAUCUGGUUCUAGAUAACUUAAAGUAAACUUAAUCAAAAACUUGCCAACUGAGGACACGGUGGGGUUAUGUUUAACAUAAGUAGGUGUUCAGGAUCAAUCAUUCUAUCAUCAUUAGUUCCCAUACGGCUAUGCGUAAAUCGCCCCCCUCUUAUUCGAUCAUCUUUUGGCUAUGUUACCGCUUUCUCAAGGUUUGAUAGUGUUGCUAGUUGCAGGUGUAGUUGCUUCCAUGUGGAUGGGUCCUUGAUAUAUCAUCUUAUAAUUGCUAUCUAAUUUAAUGCACCUAUACACUUGGUAAAUGGUGGAAGGCCUGGCCUCCUAGCCUGGUGUUUUGUUCCAUCUUUUCCGCCCUAGUUUCAGCUACCGGUGUUAUAUUCCAUAAUUGAGCGCUCCUAAUACACUUGGGGUUGUUAUGGGGACCUCCUUGAUAAUUUGCCUUAGUUCAAAACUGGUCUCACAAGGCCCAACUUUGGUACUACAUUUGCCUAAUAAAUAAUGAACCACAUAGGGAGUAAUUAACCCGAGGAUACUUAAUCAACCCCCGGGCCAAUGCUCCUCAUGAGUGUUGGUCUAACCCAGAGCACUAUGCGGGGCCAACCCCGAGCAACUUCGGUGAUCUCUAUAAGCCCCCCCCGGUGCGCGUAGCUUAUCGAUCGUGUCCUGAGAACGAGAUACGCGACUCCUAUCGGGUUCGUCGACACGUUGGGUGGCCUUGCUGGACUUGUUUCACAUUUUAUAAAAUAUCGCGUGCAUCAGGAUUCCUGUGAAGCUUUGGGCUAUCACACAGUUUAGGUUUUCCACUAAGGAAUCUGAGGAGAUCACGAGUUUCGCGAUUGAGGCUUUCUAUGCAGCUUGUGGUAGUUUGUGAUGCACUAGUUGGAGUAGCCCUGCAGGGUUAAAUCUUUCGGAAAGCCGUGCCCGCGGUUAUGUGGAAAACUUGGAAACUUUGUUUAACAUCCGGUUCUAGAUAACUUAAAGUAAACUUAAUUAAAAACUUGCCAACUGAGGACACAAUGGUGUUAUGUUUGACAUAAGUAGGUGUUCAAGAUCAUUCAUUCAAUCAUCAUUAGUCCCCGUGCGGUUAUGCGUAGAUCGCCCCCCCUCUUAUUCUUGUACUCGUAAGUUAGCUACUCAAACAAAUUCUUAGUCGCUUGCUGCGGCCUCACCAUUUAACCAUAGCUCACCCAAUAAGCUUUUCUAGUCUUGAUACAUUUGGAAAUGACAUUGUUGAGUUCCUGUGGCUCACAAAUAACUACAACAACAGUUGCAGGUACAGGUAAAGAGUUACGUUGAUGUGAGCACGAUGAUUGUUCUAUUUGGAGUUUCUUCUUCUUCUUCUUCAUCGAUCUAGGAUGAGUUCGAGGCCAACAGCCUGGGAUAGCAAGGAUGGACAUCGUUCUUUUAUCGUUUGUCUUCGUCCGUAGUCGGACCAUGCUCUUCUACAUGGUGAUUGAAUAUGUUAUUGUAUUGAUGUGAACUUGUUUUAGCUUGUGGCGAGUGUACGC
rnacentral:lncRNA from 1 species